GACGAACGCUUGCGGCGUGCCUAAGAAAUGCAAGUCGAGCGAAGCCUAGCCUUCGGGCGAAAGUUUAGCGGCGAACGGUCGCGUAACACGUAAGCAACCUGCCCUAAAGUGGGGGAUAGCCCUCCGAAAGGAGGAUUAAUACCGCAUGUGGAUGGUUUCUCGCAUGGGAGACUAUCUAAAGCAGCAAUGCGCUUUAGGAUGGGCUUGCGGCCUAUCAGCUAGUUGGUGAGGUAACGGCCCACCAAGGCGACGACGGGUAGCUGGUCUGAGAGGAUGGUCAGCCGGACUGGGACUGAGAUACGGCCCAGACUCCUACGGGUGCUG
rnacentral:rRNA from 1 species